AUUGAACGCUGGCGGCGUGCUUAACACAUGCAAGUCGAUCGGUAACGCGGGGGCAACCCUGGCGACGAGAGGCGGACGGGUGAGGAACGCUUGGGAAUCUGCCUAUCAGCGGGGGACAACACGGGGAAACUCGUGCUAAUACCGCAUACGCUCUACGGAGGAAAGCCGGGGACCGCAAGGCCUGGCACUGAUAGAUGAGCCAAAGCCGGAGUAGCUAGUUGGCGGGGUAACGGCCCACCAAGGCGACGAUCCGUAGCUGGUCUGAGAGGACGAUCAGCCACACUGGGACUGAGACACGGCCCAGACUCCUACGGGAGGCAGCAGUGGGGAAUAUUGGACAAUGGGGAAACCCUGAUCCAGCGACGCCGCGUGGGUGAAGAAGGCCUGCGGGUUGUAAAGCCCUUUCGGUAGGGACGAAAGCUCUCGACCUAACACGUCGGGAGGUUGACUUAACCUACAAAAGAAGCACCGGCUAACUCUGUGCCAGCAGCCGCCGUAAGAC
rnacentral:rRNA from 1 species